AAAUUUAAUGUGUUUGUCUUCAUAAUUACUGAAAUGUUGUUGAAAUUACUAUGCCAGCAAUGGAUAAAAUUUACUACCAUGUGCAGUCAAGUGCACUAUUGUCAUGUAUUGGAGAUAAACACAAGAUCCUUAAUUUUUAAUGAGCAAUGUUAUCAUUUUUACCAUGUGCAUGGUAAUUUACACAACAAAAGCGUAGUAAUAAUGCCCCCAUCAACAUGGCUGUUUUUCUCCGUCAGCUUGUGAAAAGUUAACACAAGUGUGGACAGAAAAAGUAUUAUUUUCAGUGCUUUAGGCGUAAUAUUGAACAAAGUUUUGUUUAUUUUUCAUAAUAUUGUACCCAUGUUGCUGUUGAUCUCGAGUUGAUGAUACCAUUCAAUUUCCAGGCCCAAUUAAGUUAUCCAAAUUAUAAUUAAGAUUAAUUUUUACUAUGUUUCUUGAUAACUCGAGCGAUGUGGAGCAUAAGUUGAAUUAGCCGCUAUAAUCGUGGAUCAGAGAUCGGUGAAAGCAAAUACGGACAUUAAAUUCAUUACAGGACUCCACUACAAGCGCCGUCUUCAUAUCUAAGAUUCGCUUUUUAUGGAUUAAAGAACAAUAAAUUAUUAUAGACAUUAUUAUUAAAUAAACGAUUAUGAUUUUAGUAAUGGAAUAGGUAUAUUGAUUUAAAAAAAGUUGGAAUAAAUAUAAAGAGUAUUCAAAUUUACUAUCCGAUAGCUGUCUUUUUAAACGCAUCGCAUGGUAAAAAAAAUUGACAAUAAUUCGUUCUCAAUAUUACCAUGUAGCAUGGUAGUUUUAACUGAUGCUUCGAAUAUCGUCGGCAUGGUAAAAAAGACCACACAUCCCGUUUGAGAUGAAUGUGUAACGUA
rnacentral:lncRNA from 1 species